GACGAACGCUGGCGGCGUGCUUAACACAUGCAAGUCGAACGGAAAGGCCCUGCUUUUGUGGGGGGCUCGAGUGGCGAACGGGUGAGUAACACGUGAGUAACCUGCCCUUGACUUUGGGAUAACUUCAGGAAACUGGGGCUAAUACCGGAUAGGAGCUCCUGCUGCAUGGUGGGGGUUGGAAAGUUUCGGCGGUUGGGGAUGGACUCGCGGCUUAUCAGCUUGUUGGUGGGGUAGUGGCUUACCAAGGCUUUGUCGGGUAGCCGGCCUGAGAGGGUGACCGGCCCCAUUGGGACUGAGAUACGGCCCAGACUCCUACGGGAGGCAGCAGUGGGGAAUAUUGCACAAUGGGCGGAAGCCUGAUGCAGCAACGCCGCGUGCGGGAUGACGGCCUUCGGGUUGUAAACCGCUUUCGCCUGUGACGAAGCGUGAGUGACGGUAAUGGGUAAAGAAGCACCGGCUAACUACGUG
rnacentral:rRNA from 1 species